CAGAGAGCUCACUAAAAUGUUAAUUAGGCAAAAACAGGAGGUAAAGAAAUAGCCAAUCAUCUAUUGCCUGAGAGCACAGCAGGAGGGACAAGGAUUGGGAUAUAAACCCAGGCAUUCGAGCCGGCAAUGGCAACCCCCUUUGGGUCCCCUCCCCUUGUAUGGGAGCUCUGUUUUCACUCUAUUAAAUCUUGCAACUGCACUCUUCUGGUCCAUGUUUGUUACGGCUGGAGCUGAGCUUUCGCUCGCCCUCCACCACUGCUGUUUUGCGGCCGUGGCAGACUCGCCACUGACUUCCAUUCUUCCGCAUCCGGCAGGGUGUCCCCUGUGCUCCUGAUCUAGCAAGGCACCCACUGCCAUUCCGGAUCGGGCUAAAUUAGGCUCGCCAUUGUUCCUGCAUGGCUAAGUGCCUGGGUUCGUCCUAAUCGAGCUGAACACUAGUCACUGGGUUCCACGGUUCUCUUCCGUGACCCACGGCUUCUAAUAGAGCUAUAACACUCACCCCAUGGCCCAAGAUUCCAUUCCUUGGAAUCCGUGAGGCCAAGAACCCCAGGUCAGAGAACACGAGGCUUGUCACCAUCUUGGAAGCAGUCCACCGCCAUCUUGGAAGCUGUGUGAGAAAGGACCCCCGAUCAGUUCUGCCCUGAAGACAGUUCACAACGUCAGACUACCCUUUGGUCUUGUGAGGCACAAUCAUUACAGAAAAAUGAGCAACAUCAUGAUGUGUCUGUAGUUAUUUCAUCGAGUCUGGCCGAUACUUAACAUUUCAAGCCUCAGGCAGGUCCUUCAGAAGAUAUUCCAGAAGAAGUCAUUGUUAUCAUACGAGAGGACAGACCCAUGCAUGUUAUCGACCCUGAAGACCUUCCAGUGGGACAAGAUGUGGAAGUGGAAGACAGUGAUAUUCAUGAUUAUGACCCUGUGUAGGCCUAAACUAAUGUGUGUGUUUGUGUCUUAGUUUAGUUUUUAAUAAAAAUUCAAAAAGUAAAAUUUAAGUUAAUUAAUUAAAAAAAACAGCUUAUAGAUUAAGGAUAUAAAGAAAGAAAAUGUUUUUGCACAGCUGUA
rnacentral:lncRNA from 10 species